AGUCACUGACAUUAGAUACCCGCGUAGUCCAGGGUGUAAACGCUGCAGACUUGGUGUUGGGGGCCCUUUGGGGGCAUUCAGUGCCGGAGAGAAGUUGUUAAGUCUGCUACUUGGGAGUACGUCCGCAAGGAUGAAACUUAAAGGAAUUGGCGGGGGAGCACCGCAACGGGAGGAGCGUGCGGUUUAAUUGGAUUCAACACCGUAAACUCACCAGGGAAGACUGUUACAUGAAGGCCGAGAUGAAGACUCUGCUAGAUUUUCAG
rnacentral:rRNA from 1 species